GGGGAAGGGUAGCUUGCUUCCUGACCUAGCGGCGGCCGGGUGAGUAAUGCUUAGGAAUCUGCCUAUUAGUGGGGGACAACAUUCCGAAAGGAAUGCUAAUACCGCAUACGCCCUACGGGGGAAAGCAGGGGAUCUUCGGACCUUGCGCUAAUAGAUGAGCCUAAGUCAGAUUAGCUAGUUGGUGGGGUAAAGGCCUACCAAGGCGACGAUCUGUAGCGGGUCUGAGAGGAUGAUCCGCCACACUGGGACUGAGACACGGCCCAGACUCCUACGGGAGGCAGCAGUGGGGAAUAUUGGACAAUGGGCGAAAGCCUGAUCCAGCCAUGCCGCGUGUGUGAAGAAGGCCUUUUGGUUGUAAAGCACUUUAAGCGAGGAGGAGGCUACUGAGAUUAAUACUCUUGGAUAGUGGACGUUACUCGCAGAAUAAGCACCGGCUAACUCUGUGCCAGCAGCCGCGGUAAUACAGAGGGUGCGAGCGUUAAUCGGAUUUACUGGGCGUA
rnacentral:rRNA from 1 species